GAGGGUAGAACUCAGUGGUAGAGUGCAUGCUUAGUAUGCACAAGGUCCUAGGUUCAAUCUCCAGUACCUCCA
rnacentral:tRNA from 1 species